UCGAAUGGUGUAAAGCCUGUUGCGGAA
rnacentral:sRNA from 1 species